rnacentral:rRNA from 1 species
CCAGACUCCUACGGGAGGCAGCAGUGGGGAAUAUUGGGCAAUGGAGGCAACUCUGACCCAGCAACGCCGCGUGAGUGAUGAAGGUCUUCGGAUUGUAAAACUCUUUAAGUGGGGACGAAGAAAGUGACUGUACCCACAGAAUAAGCCUCGGCUAACUACGUGCCAGCAGCCGCGGUAAUACGUAGGGGGCAAGCGUUAUCCGGAUUUACUGGGUGUAAAGGGAGCGUAGACGGUGAAGCAAGUCUGAAGUGAAAGGCGGGGGCUCAACCCCCGGACUGCUUUGGAAACUGUUUGACUGGAGUGCAGGAGAGGUAAGUGGAAUUCCUAGUGUAGCGGUGAAAUGCGUAGAUAUUAGGAGGAACACCAGUGGCGAAGGCGGCUUUCUGGACUGUACCUGACGCUGAGGCGCGAAAGCGUGGGUAGCGAACGGGAUUAGAUACCCCUGUAAG